AUGACGUGCCCUUAUGGAAAAAACUCUGGGUUCAGAAACAAUGGAGAUACCAAACAAGAUAAGACUAAGCCACAGAGAUAUCUGAAAAGCUGCCAUCAAUCAAACCUCUUUGUGAAGCCGGUUAGUGCAGCUUCCAUUGUUCUAAGCAGCAGGCAAAAGGAACAAAUAAAAUCCAGCUGUUUCUUCACUCUGGCACCAGAAUUCAACCCUGUCAACAAGACGGAGGGUCUCCCAAAUGCUGCAAUCUGCUCCGUGCUCUGUGCUGCUCUGCUGGGCUGUCACAACUGCUCCCUGUGCCUUUCUGCAGGUGAGGUCUUCUCCCAGAGGAUUGAUUGAAGCUUCAACGAAUGAAUGAGGCAUCAGCAGAAGAGGAACAAAAGUCACAUAGGCUGCUCCUAAAUCCUAGUACCUCUCAAAUCACACCACCUAAGAGAACUUGGAGACAUGGAGGGGCAGAGGGUUCUGUCUUCCUUUGUCCCGUGUGCAGCCCUGCACCUCCAGAGUACAAAGUGGAAGGCACGCCCACUGUGGGAGGGCGGAAGCAGGCCAGAGAGAAAGCCCAGGCAUCUCUUGGCCACCUUGAUUAAUGCAAAUAAAAUUUCUGUGGAAAUCUAGUAUAAAUCUUUGUAAAUUGGAUCAUACUGUCAGUUGACAUUUAAUUUCAACAAUGUGUUCCACGAAGAGAAAAUAAAUUGGCCCUGAGAUCACAAAGGAAUUCAGUAAACCACUUACAAUUGUAAAUUUAGCCAAAAAGUAUUAGAAAAUGUUUUAACACAUUCAGUUGAGUAAAAUAAUGAUAAAAAAUAGAGCAGAGCAGAAACCACCAGAAACUGUAAAUGAAAAGGAAUAAAACCUCAUUUCACUGGAACAGCUCCUGGGAUUUAAGGGUGUAGAUUUUUUCUUUUAAUGAAAAUUACUCUCAAAGUUCUAUUCUUUGAACAACUCUUCUCUACCCGCAGUUCUCAGUGGAUCUCUCUCAUCCACCAGGCUCUAGAAACAUCAGCUCCUCCAGCGUCAAGCUCUUUUCCCUCCUGUGUGAUCACAACUUAUUUUUUUAAACAGGUAUUUAACCUGCCACCCAUUAAUAGAUAAGUAUAACUAAAGAUGUGCAUUUAGCUAUGCUGAUUUAAGUCAGUGUUGCUGAAAUAUUUUUGCCGAAGUCAUCAGAAAAGCAUCUCUAAGCAAACCCCCGAACAUUAUUAUCAUUCUUGCAGCCUGUGUUCUAUUAGAGAAAGUGCAAUUUCCGCAUUCCACUUGAAAAUAGAACCGUUGCGCUUUUUAUUACAGAAACAUUUUAAGUUACAAGUUAUAUUGCUUUAAUUUCUCCCCCACCCUCCCACAUUUUUGAGGAAAAUUGAUGCCAUUUAUCCUGUGGACUGCUUCAUAUCCCAGAGGUCAUGUAAGUAAAUUUGAGACCUACACACUACGGAAACCAAAACAGGACAAUAGGCAGCGAGUUCAGUGUCAGGAAUGUCAAGCACAGAGGAUCCUAUCCUUCCAGCUAUGUUCUAACAGUCCGUUGGAAAGUGGAGACUUAUUUAUUUAUUUAUUUUGAGACAGAGUUUCGCUCUUGUUGCCCAGGCUGGAGUGCAAUAGCACGAUCUCGGUUUACCGCAACCUCCACCUCCCCUGUUCAAGCAAUUCUCCUGCCUCAGCCUCCUGAGUAGCUGGGAUUACAGGCAUGCGCCACCAUGCUCGGCUAAUUUUUUGUAUUUUUAGUAGAGAUGGGGUUUCUGCAUGUUGGUCAGGCUGGUCUCGAACUCCCGACCUCAGGUGAUCCACCCGCCUUAGCCUCCCAAAGUGCUGGGAUUACAGAUGUGAGCCACCAUGCCUGGCCAGUGGAGACUUAUUUUAAAGGGAGUAAAUUUAAAGGGACAUCCUUUAGAUGUGCCACCUGCAAUAGCAUCAGGUAUAAAGGUGCAGGUCCUGAAGUACUGUGGCUGUGCCCACAGCGACAACACAGGAGAGGAGCAGUGUCCCCGCUCCACGAGAAGAUCAUGGGAAUGUCACCAGGACAGAACUGCUGAGGAAGGUAUCUCACUUCGUCUACAUUAGCCUCCUUGGGGCUCAAAGCAAAGAAUGAGCAAUAUGCAAAUGAGGACAAGGAAUGAUUAAUCCUCAAAGUUCGACUGCCUUUUUCCAAAAUUGUCUCAUUUUUUGGAUAUUUGCCCAUUAGACCUCUGUCUUCUUUUUUUUUGUUUGUUUGUUUAAGGGUUUUUCAUCUUCCCUCCUUCAUCUCUCCCUUUUCUGUGGGAGCUCUUGCCAUCCUAGCCAAACACACAGAAAAUGCGCUGGAGAAGGAGAACGUUAUGUCCUUCUAGAAGGAUCCAUGAAUUUGUCUCUUUUUGAAUUUCAAAUACCGCAGCUAGAUUUGCAAACCUUUUCAAGGUCAUCGAGUUCUAUUGGCAAUAUUUGAUCAGCAUGUGGAAACACCCCCUAGGACCAAAUGUUAUCAACCGAAUGGAAUUCCAGCGACUAUGAUAUUUCAGCUCUGACGAAUAAAGAGGUGGGGGAAGGCAGAGCAGGGAAGAGUUCUUUGGGGUCAGUAAUUACAUGAUAAGCCUGGGAAAAGGCUUACUCACAUCUAAGAAUCAUUCAAGGGAGAGCUAUAGUUUUGGCCAAGAGAUAGAAAGAUUUGAAAAAAAGAUAUUAACUUGAAAUCCUUUACUUAAAAUGAAAUAAACUGUAUUUGACAUUUGGAAACUGCUGCUCCAGCAAAGAUAAAGGCACUAAGGUUUCCAAAUGGAAGGUUGAGAUAGAAUGUGGAGGCUUCCUGAGAUUCUGAAGUAUCAUUUAGAAACUAGGAGCAAAAACUCAGAUUCUUGGAAGAUGUUCAGUAAAGGAAAUAUUUUUCUUGGCACAAUGUGCUUCAUUUUUCUUAGAGAAA
rnacentral:lncRNA from 1 species